rnacentral:rRNA from 1 species
UACGUAGGGUGCAAGCGUUAAUCGGAAUUACUGGGCGUAAAGCGUGCGCAGGCGGUUUUGUAAGUCUGUCGUGAAAGCCCCGGGCUCAACCUGGGAAUUGCGAUGGAGACUGCAAGGCUUGAAUCUGGCAGAGGGGGGUAGAAUUCCACGUGUAGCAGUGAAAUGCGUAGAGAUGUGGAGGAACACCGAUGGCGAAGGCAGCCCCCUGGGUCAAGAUUGACGCUCAUGCACGAAAGCGUGGGAGCAAACAGG